UCCGGUGACAGGUGCUGCAUGGCUGUCGUCAGCUCGUGUCGUGAGAUGUUGGGUUAAGUCCCGCAACGAGCGCAACCCUUGUCUUUAAUUGCCAUCAUUCAGUUGGGCACUUUAAAGAGACUGCCGGUGUUAAGCCGGAGGAAGGUGGGAUGACGUCAAGUCCUCAUGGCCUUUAUGCCCAGGGCUACACACGUGCUACAAUGGGCGGUACAAAGAGAAGCAAUCUCGCGAGGGUGAGCAAAUCUCAAAAAGCCGUUCUCAGUUCAGAUUGUAGGCUGCAACCCGCCUGCAUGAAGAUGGAGUUGCUAGUAACCGCAGGUCAGCUAUACUGCGGUGAAUACGUUCCCGGGGCUU
rnacentral:rRNA from 1 species